rnacentral:rRNA from 1 species
AUGCGCAUGAGGAGGUCCUGCGACUCCUUUCUCUGGAAGCGGUUGCGGGUGAAGUCGCAGCGCAGCCUCUCAACCUCGGCGCGCUCCUCCGGGGUGCCGGCAUUGGGAUCGUACUCCCACACAGCCCUGCCGAGGAAGCCGUUGCCCGACCGAAGCAGCGGGCUUCCUCCCUCAGAGAUCUUCAACCUCCACAUUAUUCUUCUGCACUAG